CCUGACGCAACUUGAGGCCGUUUCCCCUCAUCAUGUCGCCGGUGAGAAGAGACAAAUCCUGCUCUCGCUCCUACAAGUGCCUGCAGUACAAGUGCCUGCUGUACCACCACUCUCAUCUCUGAAACCAGUUUCUCCAUCACCCCACAGCUGAUGCAGAAGUUGCUGUAGUCAGGCAACACAAUGCCACAGCAGCACCCUGGGAACAGAGGAGCAGUUAUUUUCACCACAGCUUUCCUAUUUGGUUUAGCUCUGUCAGGCAAGGAAAGCACGUGCCACUUUCCAGCAAGAACUCAUUCAGCUUGAGCAUCUCCGUAUGAAACAACUAAUGGAACAGAAAGGCAAUGAGAAGAAAUCCACCAAGGACUACUGAGAAGUGAAGCUGCAGUCCUGCAAAGCGUGCUUAUUAAUGCCACAGGAGAGGGGCAGCAAUUCAAAAUCUGUUUUUCAGGACCGUCAGCUAAACUAACAUGAACAGAGAUGCACGUGUGGUAAAGCAUCCUUCCUGCCACUCCAUCAGACUGCGAAUCAUUUAAGAUUUAUCACUGCUGAUGACAGAUACCUCACCUCACCUAACUCUGCACAGAAUUUUGUUGUAACAGUUGCAGUUAAAUAAAGUGUU